GACAGCAGUCGCCACGGUAAUACGAAGGGUGCAAGCGUUAAUCGGAAUUACUGGGCGUAAAGCGUGCGCAGGCGGUUUGUUAAGACAGGUGUGAAAUCCCCGGGCUCAACCUGGGAACUGCAUUUGUGACUGGCAAGCUAGAGUGUGGCAGAGGGGGGUGGAAUUCCGCAUGUAGCAGUGAAAUGCGUAGAUAUGCGGAGGAACACCGAUGGCGAAGGCAGCCCCCUGGGCCAACACUGACACUCAUGCACGAAAGCGUGGGGAGCAAACAGGAUUAGAUACCCCAGUAGUCCCUGUCUCUUAUAC
rnacentral:rRNA from 1 species